AACCAUUCUGGUGGCUUAGUGGUUAGAGUGUGUGCUUCAUAUGCAGGUGGUCACGGGUUUGAACCCCAGCUGAGUUA